rnacentral:rRNA from 1 species
AUUGAACGCUGGCGGCAUGCUUUACACAUGCAAGUCGAACGGCAGCACGGGAGCUUGCUCCUGGUGGCGAGUGGCGAACGGGUGAGUAAUAUAUCGGAACGUGUCCAAUAAUGGGGGAUAACUAUCCGAAAGGAUAGCUAAUACCGCAUACGCCCUGAGGGGGAAAGUGGGGGAUCUUCGGACCUCACGUUAAUGGAGCGGCCGAUAUCUGAUUAGCUAGUUGGUGAGGUAAAGGCUCACCAAGGCGACGAUCAGUAGCUGGUCUGAGAGGACGACCAGCCACACUGGGACUGAGACACGGCCCAGACUCCUACGGGAGGCAGCAGUGGGGAAUUUUGGACAAUGGGGGCAACCCUGAUCCAGCCAUGCCGCGUGAGUGAAGAAGGCCUUCGGGUUGUAAAGCUCUUUCGCAAGGGAAGAAACGAUGCAGACAAAUAAUCUGUGUUAAUGACGGAACCUUGAUAAGAAGCACCGGCUAACUACGUGCCAGCCGCCGCCGUAACAC